UACGUAGGGUGCAAGCGUUAAUCGGAAUUACUGGGCGUAAAGCGUGCGCAGGCGGUUUUGUAAGUCUGUCGUGAAAUCCCCGGGCUCAACCUGGGAAUUGCGAUGGAGACUGCAAGGCUAGAAUCUGGCAGAGGGGGGUAGAAUUCCACGUGUGAGCAGUGAAAUGACGUAGAGAUGUGGAGGAACACCGAUGGCGAAGGCAGCCCCCUGGGUCAAGAUUGACGC
rnacentral:rRNA from 1 species